CAUUUAAACGUUAUUACUGCGAGUGCCUAAUCCCAUCUGAUCUGGGAAAAUAAGCAGGAUAGUGCCUGGUCACUAUGUGGAUGGGAGACCACUUUGGAAGGCCAGCGGUUUGCGUCA
rnacentral:rRNA from 12 species